UCUGAGGCCCUUCCGCCGAGUGGAGUUGUUUGGGAAUGCAACUCUAAACGGGUGGUAAAUUCCAUUUAAGUUUAAAUACUGGCGAGAGGCCGAUAGCGAACAAGUUCUGUGAAGGAAAGAUGAAAAGCGCUUUGAAAAGAGAGUGAAACAGCACGUGAAAUUGUUGAAAGGGAAGGGUAUUGCUCCCGACAUGGAGCGUGCGCACCGCUGCCCCUCGUGGGCGGCGCUCUGGGCGUGCUCUGGGCCAGCAUCGGUUUUUGCCGCGGGAGAAGGGCGGCGGG
rnacentral:rRNA from 1 species